CCUACGGGUGGCUGCAGUGGGGAAUAUUGCACAAUGGGCGCAAGCCUGAUGCAGCCAUGCCGCGUGUGUGGAGAAGGCCUUCGGGUUGUAAAGCACUUUCAGCGGGGAGGAAGGCGGUGAGGUUAAUAACCUCAUCGAUUGACGUUACCCGCAGAAGAAGCACCGGCUAACUCCGUGCCAGCAGCCGCGGUAAUACGGAGGGUGCAAGCGUUAAUCGGAAUUACUGGGCGUAAAGCGCACGCAGGCGGUCUGUCAAGUCGGAUGUGAAAUCCCCGGGCUCAACCUGGGAACUGCAUUCGAAACUGGCAGGCUAGAGUCUUGUAGAGGGGGGUAGAAUUCCAGGUGUAGCGGUGAAAUGCGUAGAGAUCUGGAGGAAUACCGGUGGCGAAGGCGGCCCCCUGGACAAAGACUGACGCUCAGGUGCGAAAGCGUGGGGAGCAAACAGGAUUAGAUACCCGAGUAGUC
rnacentral:rRNA from 1 species